rnacentral:rRNA from 1 species
CCUACGCGUGGCUGCAGUGGGGAAUAUUGCACAAUGGGCGAAAGCCUGAUGCAGCAACGCCGCGUGAAGGAAGAAGGGUUUCGGCUCGUAAACUUCUAUCAACAGGGACGAAAGAAAUGACGGUACCUGAAUAAGAAGCCCCGGCUAACUACGUGCCAGCAGCCGCGGUAAUACGGAGGGGGCAAGCGUUAUCCGGAAUUACUGGGUGUAAAGGGUGAGUAGGCGGCAUGGUAAGCCAGAUGUGAAAGCCUUGGGCUUAACCCGAGGAUUGCAUUUGGAACUAUCAAGCUAGAGUACAGGAGAGGAAAGCGGAAUUCCUAGUGUAGCGGUGAAAUGCGUAGAUAUUAGGAAGAACACCAGUGGCGAAGGCGGCUCACUGGACUGCAACUGACACUGAGGCUCGAAAGUGUGGGUAUCAAACAGGAUUAGAUACCCCUGUAGUC